AGCAAUGUAGAGGAAAACUAGUCCGGGGUACACGAACUCGCCCAAAUGCGCCUGGUCGCCGUCCACGAUCAAAUGCGGCAGACCAUCAGUACCGCACAACAACCCCUGGUUUCCGUAAAACUCAAACCUCCUCUUGGUCUUCUCAAUAGUCGCAUUGAUAGCCAACGCAGGUGCGCUGUCAGGCGCGUAGAGCUUCAACCUGCCCUCCAAUUUCUUAAUCUCCUGCUUCUGUCGCUUGGCAAACCCCUUGCUCUCCUUGCAAGGCGUCAAACCAGCAACAUCAGCUCUCGCAUCGGGCACCACAAAGUCACUGGAACCCACAACAGCAGCCAAUGCCAACGCAGUGGCGAACUUCCCUGCGGUCUCGGCAACAGUGGAGGUCUCGUCGGCGGAUGUAGAGCAGACAAUCCUAGCCUUGGAGCUCUUCACGAACACUGAAGCGCGAGCGCCGGAGAUUGCUGUCCGGGAGCUGACGUCCUUGCAGAGGGGCGCA
rnacentral:lncRNA from 1 species